rnacentral:rRNA from 1 species
GUGGGGAAUUUUGGACAAUGGGCGCAAGCCUGAUCCAGCCAUUCCGCGUGCAGGAUGAAGGCCUUCGGGUUGUAAACUGCUUUUGUACGGAACGAAAAGCCUCUGGUUAAUACCCGGGGGUCAUGACGGUACCGUAAGAAUAAGCACCGGCUAACUACGUGCCAGCAGCCGCGGUAAUACGUAGGGUGCGAGCGUUAAUCGGAAUUACUGGGCGUAAAGCGUGCGCAGGCGGUGAUGUAAGACAGUUGUGAAAUCCCCGGGCUCAACCUGGGAACUGCAUCUGUGACUGCAUUGCUGGAGGGCGGCAGAGGGGGAUGGAAGUCCGCGUGUAGCAGUGAAAUGCGUAGAUAUGCGGAGGAACACCGAUGGCGAAGGCAAUCCCCUGGGCCUGCACUGACGCUCAUGCACGAAAGCGUGGGGAGCAAACAGGAUUAGAAACCCGAGUAGUCC